CUAUAGGAAAAUUUAUUUUUUUUGAACGAACUUAACCAGGCAAAGCAAGUAACUAGCAACAUGUGCACAAUUUACUUGGGCAAAUGUCGCCCGUUCCUCCUCGGUGUCAUCAGAAGGUACACUGGGAGAACAGAAGGGUUGAAUUGAGCUGGUUUCCAAGGAACCAUGUCAGAGCCGCUGCGGAGUUAAGAGCUGCGUCCACACAGCAGCCAAAUCAUGAAGUUGCAGGAGCGGCUGUUGUUAACCCACAGCUAAGAAUAACGCUCGACUUUCCAAAAUAAAACGAAGAAACGAAGUCCCCUGGCCAAGGAUUCGGGGCGGCACAGAGGGGAAACGGAGCUUCCUGCACUGCCCUCAUCACUCAGAACCUGGGGUCCCAGGCGAUUCAGUCACCGCCCACAGAACAGCGCCGCGGGCACCACGUGAGACUCCCGGGGCCGGCUGGGAGCGGGGGACGAGGGGCGCCCACUCGGGGGUCGGCAGUUUGCAGGUGCGAUGGGCGGCCCCCUCACCCACGUUUAUCCGGACUGGAGCCCGCCGCUCCCGGCUGGGUUUCCGGGUGGUUCGCGCUCCUUCUGAAUUGGCAGCGAGGUCGCGGCAGGUUCGAGACAGAUUUCACCAUGUUGGCCAGGCUGGUCUCGAACUAUUGACCUCAAGUGAUCCACCCGCCUCAGCCUCCCAAAGUGCUGAGAUUACAGGUAUGAACCACUAUAAUAUAACCUUUUCAUAAAUGUGUCCACCAUAAAG
rnacentral:lncRNA from 1 species